UUAAAAAUCAUGAUGGAAAUAGAUGGGGUGACUUCACAAAGACUUUUACCCAGAGUAGGGGAAUCGAGAACCAGAGGUCAUAGGUUUAAGGUGAGAGGGGAAAGACUUCAUAGGAAUUUGAAGGGUG